rnacentral:rRNA from 1 species
UACGAAGGGGGGCUAGCGUUGCUCGGAAUCACUGGGCGUAAAGCGCACGUAGGCGGAUCUUUAAGUCAGGGGUGAAAUCCCAAGGCUCAACCUUGGAACUGCCUUUGAUACUGGGGAUCUCGAGUCCGGAAGAGGUUGGUGGAACUGCGAGUGUAGAGGUGAAAUUCGUAGAUAUUCGCAAGAACACCAGUGGCGAAGGCGGCCAACUGGUCCGGUACUGACGCUGAGGUGGCGAAAAGCGUUGGGGAGCAAACAGGG